AAAGAUUUUUUAAGGCCCCCCCUAUGGCAAUCGAAGCAGCCCUGACAAGAAAAACGAGAUAGUGUGCGGUUGAUCGGUCAUGCAAUCUGUCAAAUAUUCAAAAAAUAAAGUUUGUUUACAUUUUGAACCGAACGAUAGCUCUCACGAUGUACAACGGCGAAUGAUUAAAAAAAGGCUACAUCGGUGAUGAAAAUGUUGUGUGUAAUGUGUAAAAUAGACAGCCUUUAAAUUAUAAAUGGUGGUAGAAUCGACUUCGCACGCCUGAAAGCCGUUUAGGGUAAGUAAAACAAAGCUAAUAUUUGUAAUAUUAAAUCAAUUAAAGCGGUAUUUUCUAUGCAGCUGUUGUGCAACCGUGUUGAGCCGGCGAUAGUUAGAAAGAGGGAAGAAAGAAUGCCCGCAAUCAAACUAAACGAUGUUUGAUCAUGGAAAACAAGUUAAAAAGCAUACAAAGCUCGCUCGCCGUUGGACGCUUGGACAAUUACAUUAACAAUCAUUCGGUGAUCAGUUUGCGAAACGUCUUGCCGCACGCCUGGUACAGGCCCUUCUUGUCCGCGUCGGUAUCGAUCGUGGACUGAUCGUUCGGCAGCGUCAGCAUCAUCACCUUCAUCUGCGGGUAGUUGUGGUACGGCACAGUUCCGGUCGUCAUCUCGAUCGCGGUAAUGCCGAACGACUAGAAGCCGUAUCCGUGGUCCCGCUCCGUCUCCUCCAGCGCCAUCCAGCACGACGUGCCGAUAAACGUGUGGUACACCUUCUGCCGCGACAUGUCUCCAUCGGUGGCGAGCCACGCGCUCAUCCGCUAUAUUUAAGGAGCCGUCGUCGCCGGGCAGUAUGAUGGCCACCUUGAUGUCCACGUAAUGAGCAAUGCGAAAUGUGCUCUCAAUUGGCAAGCGCACAGCAAGAAACGUUACCGACAGUCUUUGUCGCCGUGAAAAUGCUUCUAAUGCACGGGUGAGUUGCAUUAUAACUACAAGCAUACGUUUUUUUUCCUUUCUUUAGUUUCAGCUAAUGCCAGACGAACGAUCGAAUGACUGUUGCUUCGGAAGGGAGGUCGCAUUACAGAUACCGACUUGGACAUGAUCCAGUCGGUCGGUUGCAGUUGUUCCAUGGUGCUUCGGAUAAGGCAACAACGGAGAAGCGCUCCGGACGCUCCGGAGAAGCUGAUCGAGAUCGGCGAAGCGGUGUAGUGUUGUGAUAUAGUGAUUGUGUGUACAUUUAAGGUGUAAAGGGUGAUUAAUGCUAGUAACGUUGUGUAAUGUUAUGCAGAACAAAAUGCAGCAUAAAUGGCGAUGAGCCAGCAUUGUUUAAAGGUGCCGGAUGUUAUACGUUAGAGCCGUUCUUUGUGGUGUGAUGUGUUAACAUAUUAAACCAGUAUUAGGAUUAGGAUAUAAUUAGGAUUUAAACCAGUGCCGUUGAAUAAAAUAGUGUACAACAGGUUAGAAAACAUUCGGUGUAUUUUGUUUUGUUUUUUUGAAGCUCUUUCGAUUACCUAUUACGGAAGCAAAUAUGUUUCACUAAUGUGCAAAAGGUAAGGAAUCAGUGAUCGCGUUGGUAGGUAAUUGCUCGUUUACGGUGUUUCUCCAUUUGUAUUUAUUGUUUCUCGCCCGCUGUGUUUGCUUCCCCAUUCCUCAUAAUGGUGCGUACGUUUCGUUAACAAUGUGCAUUAGAUGGUGAUGUUACAUGAUAAGUAAAUGUUGAGCAUGUUGGCGGGUUAAAAAAAAUAUUUUACUUGUCCUGCUCCGUUGGUUGUCUGGUUGUCUGGUUGUCUGGCUGGCUGGCUGGCUGGUUGGAUGGCAGAAUGGCUCACUGGCUGGUUAGUGCAGACUAUGAUCGGAUGCGCAUUUCCCUACGCCGUAGUGCCGGGUGCAUCAUACGUCGGUGUUGGGUUGCUGUUACUGGGCCGAGCGGAUGCGCGUGCACACGUGGGAAUAAACGACACGCAACCGUGGUGAUAUCACAGAAACUAUAUAUUUUGUUCUAUUUCAUCACAAAAAAAUUCUUGCCAUUAAUUUUUCUUUUUAGGUAUUUUAUAUUGCAUCGGUACGAUUAUCAUGUUCAAAGGCUUUAUCGAGAAAUGCCAAUACAUAAAUGGGUUAGUCCGUUUAUAUCGGUUUCUCAAACCCCUGCAAGCAAUGGUCAAUCAUUUCAGUCUUAAACUUUUGACGAACGAAUGCCUGGUCGCUAGCUGUAGCUUCCCAUCGAUGUAGGCACCCGAUCUUCGAGAUUUUACUUCACCUGAUCUAGCCAUCGAACUCGCUGUGCUUCCUUGCUUCUAGUACCGAACUGAGAGCCGCUCGAACACCUAGCUGCUGGGGCACGAGGAUGCCUUCUUCACAACAUGCUCCAGCCAUCGCAAACAGCCAUGUCCGGUGCGGCAUACGGCUUCAGUAAGCUCGUGGAUGAUCAUUCGCAUCCACACCCCAUGCUCGAAUUCACCGCCAAAGAUGAUCCGGAGGAUGCGUCGGCCAUCGUGUUUCGCCGCUGUCCUUUGCAUGCUGUAAAGAAACAUACCUAUUCAUCGUCGGCCAAUGGUGCAGCACGAGCGCAACGUGAUACAUCGUGACAUCAUCCGGAAAACUUGCAGCUGGGGCACGGUGGUGAUCUGAAGAUAGCUGAUUUCGGUUGGUCCGUGUACGAGCCGACCUUGUUCCGGUACGACGCGGUGCGUUUCGCACGACUAUUUAUCGCCCGAGAUGGUACAUGGUCAGCCGCACACAAAAACUGUCGAUCUAUGGAAUUUGGGCGUGCUGGCGUACAAGCUGCUGUGCGGUAAGGCCCCGUUUUUGGCGACCACGUAUGAAGAAUCGUACCGUAAAAUUAUGAAGCUGCAGUUUAAGAUGCCGCCAGAUGUAACGAAGCCGGCGGUCCAUCUGAUCUCGCGACUGUUCGUUAAGGAUCUGGCCAGCCGUAUGCCGCUGACACAUGUUGCGACCAUCCCUGGAUUCUGCUGCAUGUGCACAAAAAGUAAAUAGGUACUGGUGCUACCAUGUACCAUUUAUCGUUAUGUUCUAACUAAGUAUGUUUAUAAGAUACCUGUACCUUUUAGUUUUUUAAACCCUAUCUCUUAUAAGAAGUAGUGGUAUUUGAAUUUAAUAUGAACAAGGCAAGUGUAAUGAUAAGUAAUGAUAAUUGUUAUUUGUGUGUUCACUCAAUUGUUAUUAUACUUUCUUCAUGUUCAACAUCUAUUAUUAUUUCAAUUAUUAACAAUAAAAUAUGGCAAAAUAUUUUUUAAGCUAUAGAUCGUCUUUGUAUUGAAUGAGUGCAAUUGAUGGGUGAAUGAAUGCAAACAUUAUGAUGAUCAAGACCGUGACCAGCCUCUCGGGGUGCCUUUGGUGUCUCAGUUCUGUAUAGAGGAGAGCGUAGAAGGGUAUGGCUAUAUUCUUUUCGGCGCUGCCAUGCACCUUUCGGUGCAACGAUAAGAUAGAGUUAAUGUUUUUUUGCACCACUGAAGCACACACCAACCAGCACACACCAACCAGUGAUUGACUAUCCGGUUAGGUGAUACGAAUAAGUCUUGUAAGCAUUUAUACAUAACGUCAGCAUGACCACGUUUGUCGGCUGUAGCGGAAAUAAAGCAUAACAAUUAUUUAUUUGUUACGAUAUAAAUAGGAAGAAAGUGCAACGCUGUGCGGUCCCGUGAUACAGUCAUCAAUUCGUACGACCUAAUAACAUGCCUGUCAUGUGUUCAAAACUCAUACGGUCCGUCCCCCCGUAGCAAGGAUCAAUUAUCCUCAACUAAACUAAACUAAACUAAACUAUCCGGCUGCGUGGUACCAAAUCAGUUUCGAAAGCCUGUACAGGUCGACAUGUUCGCAUCGUUAAGCCAAAAAGAAAGAAAGUGCUGCGUUGUCGUGAUCGAUACGGUAAAAGUGCUUCCGUCUUAACAGAAGGUGCUCUAUCAUCUACCAAAAUUGUUGUGUGAGAAAUGGAACUAGCUUGCAAAAAGGUUUGGUCAGUCUGAUUCAUGAAAAAAAAAAUCAAAAUAGUUAGGUGUUUUUACUUCUCUUUUUCCGUUUUGGACAUAACUGUUCUCACUAAUGGUAUGCCUGUACCACUAAUUGAUUUAUCAAUGUAAUUAAGCUAUUGAUUACCCACAUCAGGAUAGUCAGUCCUAUGUAUGAGGGGGGCGGUCCAUACGGGACUUGAGCCCAUGACGAGCAUGUUGUUUGGAAAACUAGUUUAGUGCAUAACAAUAAACUUAUUUUCCUUCAUUGAAGAACAGAGAAGCUGUUGUGGUCCGAUCGAACUUACCCAUUCUGUCCAUCUGGGUAUGCCACUCAGCGAUAGCAGUCGACGGCUUCCGUAUGAUGUGUGCGUGGAAGGAUGUGCGUGAGUUACAGGUCGCUGACCAGACGAUUGAGAGAGAGAUAGUGCAAAAUAGAGGGAGAUCUAACCUACAGCGCACAUGUAGUGAGUAUUCAAAUAGGACUAACGGGCCCGUGCUAUUCAUUUAUAAUUAGGGAAUAAAGGAUUUUAUAUGUUUGUGUCAAUGCAAAGUAAUCGUUUUCAUCAUUGUAGUAACGUCCAUGCAUCCGACAUCAAAGAAGCCAAAGCAAUCAGAAACCGAUUGAAGAUUUUAAAGCUCGCAGGCCACAGCGGGCAUUAAGCACUGUUGUGGAAGGUCAGUGUUUUACGAACAAGAGCCCAACUGAAUAGGAAAGGACUGUUCAAAGGGGAGUGGUUAGUACCAACAUGUGAUCGUCCUGAUGAUAGUUUUAAGAGUGUGUUCCUUUAGUCAAAUAAUUAUUGUUUAAAAUACGGUCGAGUAAAAUACGUAUGUUUGUCAAUGAUAAUAAAAGGUCAAGGCUAAGUAUGUAGAGAGAAAAAAUAAAUAAAUAAAUAAAUAAAAAUAAAACAUAGUCAACCGAUCCUGUUAGUAUACGAUCGUCAGCAAUUGACGUCGCAUUCCAGCUAGCACCACGAGGAGGUAGGAUUCGGAGUUCCAAGAUAGCGGUUGCAUAAUAAUACAUCCGCUUCCUGGCAUUAGCUAGCCAGCUGGAAAGAGCUCGAUGAAUUUAAAGUGUUUAAAAAUACGAAGAACAAUAUGUUAAUACUUACUCAAACUCCUGAACUGAUUGGAUGGCACGCAAGAUGGUAAUGAAAUUGUUGGGCUGGGCUCGCUUAAGCUGGUACUCGCGUAUAUAUUCUAUUAAUGCUCCCCGGUUUGUGCCUUUAGAUCUUAAAAAGGGCUUGACACAGCGCCAUAAAUUCUCGAUGGUCUGUGUGUGUACUAAUGGAUCGCUUGGGUCGACAAAAUUUUCGGAAUGGUUUAUCAUCUCGUGCUCAUACCCUUUUCCGUCUAGUCCGAUGUAGGCACGCCAACCAUCCGUCACAAUUGUCGUUCCGGGGGCCACAUUGUUCAUUAUAAUGCCCUGCAAGUUGCCAGCGUCGCGUUUCUGAACCAGCUCCAGAAAAAUCUCUUUUGUCUCCCGACAAAUACCACCGACCAGCCAAACCUGGUUGUUGUCCGCGAUCCGUCCUCUGUGGUACUUCCGUUUGGUAAUGACGGACUCGUCGAUCUCCACAGUGAGCCCUUCGCCUCCGAUCUGUUGUCGGUGGGUUUCCACAUAUUCAGCGCUUAUUUCACGGAGUAUUUUGAACCAUUUUAGAAUGGCUGUCUUACCUACAAUGAGAUAAAAAUAAAACAAAACAAAAAAUUUAUCAAAACCGACUGAUUGAAAAAAAUACUAAAAAUAAAUUACCGGCUGCACAUUCAGCUUCCGCAACCAUCCGCGUCGUAUUUCGAGACCACUCGAAGGUUAUCUCCAUCAACUGGGAUAGAGACAGCCUCGAAUUUUUGAAAAUACUAUCCGUGCGGACAGUACAUUCCCAGCCGGUGCAGCUCGAUGUAGGCUUGCAAAUCCAUUUGCAAGCAUUGAAGCGCUUGGUUACCUUCAGCUUCAUUUGUCU